rnacentral:rRNA from 1 species
AUAAGCAACGUGCGCCCAAAGACUGGGAUAGUCGAGGGAAACCACGGGUAAUACCAGAUGUGGUCCUUAGAUGGCAUCAUCGAGGGAUUAAAUCGAGCAAUCGGCUUUGGGAGCGGCUUAUGUCCUAUCAGCUUGUUGGUGAGGUAACGGCUCACCAAGGCUACGACGGGUAGGGGGUCUGAGAGGAUGAUCCCCCCGAGUGGGACUGGGACACGGCC